GCCUCCAUCUGAAACCAACGGUCACACCAUGGCCUAGCAGAUGUAUAAUGUAUCUGUGAGCUCUCUGGCAGCUCAAGGGAAAGGGAAAGCUGGAAAAUGACCUACCAUUGUGGCCAAUACAUUGUGGAAAGACGGUGCAGGCUCAGUGACAUGGACACACCUUGAACCAAGGGAACAACUGUCCCAAAGGGAAGAUCCUUGUUGCCUUCACAGGCUGGGACUAUCUGAAAUCCCCCAGUGGCUGCUUUCCAGUUGAACUGUUUAAAGUCGUGUGCUCUCCCGGCAACUCUAAAACAGCUGUGAGCCUUUGAUUCUAUUGGUGUCUGCAUUGCAUAGGAAAGAGUGCGUUUUCCUUUUCAACAGUGGUGAAACUGAGGUCCACAGGUUUUAACUUAAAUUUUGAUCCCAAACACUUCUCCACAUCACCUUGCUCUGAGAGGAGGCAGAGUGGGUAUGAGAAGACGGAGAUCUCUUGAAGACUAGAACCCACGCAGAUCGCACGUCAUUUCUGCUCACAUCUCAUUGGCCAGAGUAUGGUGGUAUGACUGCACACCAGUAUGGGGCUAUUAUACCUGCAAGCUUUUCUACCUGGCCUCUUUGUUCCCAGAAACAAGGAGUCUGAGACUUAGUAUUUCAACAAUAAAUACCGAGGCCAAAAGCUUUGGCUUGUUCCUUGGCUAUCUCAUAGCUUAGUUACCCAUUUAUUCUAUUCUAAUUCCCACCACAUGGUUGGUUACUG